AUUGAACGCUGGCGGCAUGCCUUACACGUGCAAGUCGAACGGUAACAGGUCUUCGGAUGCUGACGAGUGGCGAACGGGUGAGUAAUACAUCGGAACGUGCCCGAUCGUGGGGGAUAACGAGGCGAAAGCUUUGCUAAUACCGCAUACGAUCUACGGAUGAAAGCGGGGGAUCUUCGGACCUCGCGCGGACGGAGCGGCCGAUGGCAGAUUAGGUAGUUGGUGGGAUAAAAGCUUACCAAGCCGACGAUCUGUAGCUGGUCUGAGAGGAUGAUCAGCCACACUGGGACUGAGACACGGCCCAGACUCCUACGGGAGGCAGCAGUGGGGAAUUUUGGACAAUGGGCGAAAGCCUGAUCCAGCCAUGCCGCGUGCAGGAUGAAGGCCUUCGGGUUGUAAACUGCUUUUGUACGGAACGAAAAGCCUCUUUCUAAUAAAGAGGGGUCAUGACGGUACCGUAAGAAUAAGCACCGGCUAACUACGUG
rnacentral:rRNA from 1 species